ensembl:processed_transcript
GCAGACAGGCAGGCAGCCUGCCGGGAGUCCUGUUGAAGCAUGCACAGAGCACACCUCUACCCGCACCCACCACCAGGACCCCUCGCCAUCACCUCCUUGAACCGGGAGGAUCCAGAGCCCGGACCUGGGUUCCCAGGGGGACUCUGCUCACCGUGCCUCAACUCAUACCUGGAAGAAGAAAAUAAAAGAACACUGUGUGAAAGGCAAGAUAAAUCGGUGGGCGAAGUUAACCCGAUCACACCAGCAUCGCCUAUUUGAGACUCGCUAUGCUCUCAACAGCCCCGAGGAAUUAUCUCAUGAUUGCAUUAGAGUGGGAAGACACGAAGCUGAGAGGCAAGCAGAACAGAAACUUCGAUAGAAAUUGCCCUAAGCUGAAGCACCUUUCGUGAACCUUGUGGAUGUCUGGAACCUCUCCACUGCAUCUUGGUGCAGGCAGCACUGGGAUUCUCUGUACAAAGCAGCUGCCCCUACCGAACAUACACCUGGGUUUUUUGAGCAGCAAUGAGCAGCCAAAAACAAAACGAGCAAACAAAUGAGGCUGGGAGAGAGAGCAUUUGAGCCUACAGUUGGUUCCUGAGAGCAGAGGGGGAAGGGAGCUGGAUGAAUGGCCUCCUCAUGCUCUACCCCACCCCCCACGCCUGUCUGCAGGAAGUUCCGUGUGCCUUCUGCUGAAGAGUUGGUAGCCUGCCUUCAUUGUCAUUAUCGGUGUUCCUGGGGUGAUAAUGCCAGAUGUUUG